rnacentral:rRNA from 1 species
GACGAACGCUGGCGGCGUGCCUAACACAUGCAAGUCGAGCGAGUGGAUCUCCUUCGGGAGUGAAGCUAGCGGCGGACGGGUGAGUAACACGUGGGCAACCUGCCUCAUAGAGGGGAAUAGCCUUUCGAAAGAAAGAUUAAUACCGCAUAAGAUUGUAGCUUCGCAUGAAGUAGCAAUUAAAGGAGCAAUCCGCUAUGAGAUGGGCCCGCGGCGGAUUAGCUGGUUGGUGAGGUAACGGCUCACCAAGGCGACGAUGCGUAGCCGACCUGAGAGGGGGAUCGGCCACAUUGGGACUGAGACACGGCCCAGACUCCUACGGGAGGCAGCAGUGGGGAAUAUUGCACAAUGGGGGAAACCCUGAUGCAGCAACGCCGCGUGAGUGAUGACGGCCUUCGGGUUGUAAAGCUCUGUCUUCAGGGACGAUAAUGACGGUACCUGAGGAGGAAGCCACGGCUAACUACGUGCCAGCAGCCGCCGUAAGAC